rnacentral:rRNA from 1 species
GACGAACGCUGGCGGCGUGCCUAAUACAUGCAAGUAGAACGCUGAAGGAGGAGCUUGCUUCUCUGGAUGAGUUGCGAACGGGUGAGUAACGCGUAGGUAACCUGCCUGGUAGCGGGGGAUAACUAUUGGAAACGAUAGCUAAUACCGCAUAAGAUUGACUAUUGCAUGAUAGUCAGUUAAAAGGUGCAAUUGCAUCACUACCAGAUGGACCUGCGUUGUAUUAGCUAGUUGGUGGGGUAACGGCUCACCAAGGCGACGAUACAUAGCCGACCUGAGAGGGUGAUCGGCCACACUGGGACUGAGACACGGCCCAGACUCCUACGGGAGGCAGCAGUAGGGAAUCUUCGGCAAUGGACGGAAGUCUGACCGAGCAACGCCGCGUGAGUGAAGAAGGGUUUCGGAUCGUAAAGCUCUGUUGUAAGAGAAGAACGAGUGUGAGAGUGGAAAGUUCACACUGUGACGGUAUCUUACCAGAAAGGGACGGCUAACUACGUG